GAUCUGGAAACACACUGGAGACGCCAAGUUCUGAGUCCCCAGGUGGCCACCGUCUUCAGCUGCCGGAUCUGGUACUGCUGGCAGGAUACAGAGAAAACAGCUUGAGGUGAGUGUGUGAAGACACACCCAGUAAACAGUCAGCACACAGAAAUAUUUCUCUCCAGGUGGGCACGACACCUCCACCUCCAACACAGUAAAAGAGUGAGGGCUACUUAGUUUGACGUGCGUCACUCGUCACGUUUCCCCAAACUUAGCGUCCCGCUAUCAGUAGGCUCUGAGGCCCUUGGUGCCAGUGGUUAUCCCCAGAUUCCAUAACGUGAUGUGGCUGAGACUCUACGACUCUUCCUGGAUGGGAUGCCAGUCCAUUGUAGAUUGCUUCCCCAGCCAUGACUGGUAGCCAUUUACAGUUGGGUGGAUCUAGAGAAAUACCCUAUAGAAGCAUUUUUGUCACGUAUUCAUCAAGUGAAAUGUUUUGUUGAAAAAAUGCCAGUUCAAACUCUUGCCUUUGCAUCCUGGGAGUUUCAGAUCAAAACCCUUUCACUACAGCUAGUGAUCAGAUCCAUUAUGGGACACUUAAGAAAACAAGAUUUUCAUACAUUUUUCCAAAAAUGAAAUACUCAAAAGUCAGAAUUUGCUAUCAACAUGUAGCCUAAAAUAACUAAUAUGAAAUUUCAAGUAUUAGCUUGUUACUGAAUUUACGUAUUUAAAGCGCCUUGGGGCAACUGUUUGUUGUGAUUUGGCGCUAUAUAAAUAAAAUUGAUUGAUUGAUUGACGUUCCAAUUCAACUGUGCUCCUGUUUAACGAUGACUACUUUUCAGUUCUAAUCUCAGAUUUUAAUGUCAGGUUUGGUUUUUGGAAAGAAACACCAAUGCUCCUGUUGGCUAAACAAGUACAUGUUGGUUGAGGUUGCUCCUUGCUGAGACAUAUUCUCUCUCUCUCUCAUGAAUGGGCCUCCUUCCAAAGAAUACUGCACCACCUGGCACGGGCACGGUCCAUUCCCUCCACUAAAACACAUCAACAGGCUGCCAAAGUCCUGGAGUGAAGGCUUCACGGAGCGGUCAGGAAAGGACUGUCCUAGAAAUCGAGCCCCCUUCAGCGGAGUUGCUUCCUCUCAUAGAUGUGGCUCCAGUAGACUUUGGCAACAACAACCAAAAGUUUGGAUUCCAAGUUGGACGUGUGUGCUUCAACGGUUAACAUUGAGCCAAAUACAAACAAAGACCUGUGACAUCAAGGUUUUUUUUAAACCAAAAAAAAUUGACUUUUUUAUCACUGCCCAAACUGAUAUUUAUUAUAUUCCUGUAUGUGGUGGGUUUGUGGUCUUUUAAAACUCUUCAGCAGCCAAUUAAAUUGAUUCUAUGACUUUAAAACCAUAAGAGGAAUAACCAAAAGGAAAUAUUCCAGUUUGAUAUAUUUAAUUUGAAGAAGGUUUGCUUCCUUUUCUUCCUGCUCCAGCGUGCUGUUCUACAAGUAUGAAGAGCAUACCACUUAAACAUACCAGACGGUUCAGGAAUGGAGUCUGUCAUCAAUCAGCUGAGUGCAACUUGCCUGAAAAGUAUUUGCAACGUCAUUUAACAAGGUCAUUUAUCGUGGCUCAGGCCAAAAACAGAGAGAUGGAGAGAAAAAAAGAAACUGUCUUUCUCAUUUUGCAUGCUCCAGUUUCACUAUAAUGACAACUGCAUUGCAAACUAGUGUAGCACAUUAAUUCCACACAAGCACCAAAAUUAAUUUCCUGUGUCCAGGAGUGAUAAAUUGUCUUUUUUACCCUUCAACUGUAGUUUGCUCAGUGAAUUAACUUGAUUGCUAUUCAACAGACAUAGCUACUUAUUGAAUGCUACACUUACUUGAAGGGAUAAGGCUGUUUUCUUUAUUGGAGUGCUUCCCUCCACAGGCUUGAUAAUAGGCUUUUGCAGCCCAGUGUUUCCACAGGCGGGUACUCUUAAGUGUCUACUGCGAUAUAUACUGUACCUGUGCAUAUGUUACAAAGUUUAAAAGGCAUCAAUGGAAUUAGAGGAUGUUGAUUAAAAUGAACAUUUCCUGCA